UGCGUAGGUGGUUUGGUAAGUUAUCUGUGAAAUUCCCGGGCUUAACCUGGGCAUGUCAGGUAAAACUGCUGAACUCGAGUACAGGAGAGGGUAGUGGAAUUUCCGGUGUAGCGGUGAAAUGCGUAGAGAUCGGAAGGAACACAGUGGCGAAGGCGACUACCUGGCCUGAUACUGACACUGAGGCACGAAAGCGUGGGGAGCAAACA
rnacentral:rRNA from 1 species